AUGGUCCACCUGAUUAUGAACGAGAUAUUCGGCAUCGUAUUUGCUUUGCUGGCAAACCGACGGUGGUAUGAAGGAAGAGCGGAAUUGGGCAUUGCUACAACUCUCAUUGGUCUUGUGGUUUUCAUUGUUCCCAUGGUGGUUUGGAUGCUGCUGCAACCCAUGAUUAAGAGAAACUACGCUGGUCUUGAGAACUACAUGGGGACUGCCGCCGUGGUGGUGGAUGUCUAUGUGGCCUUACUUAUGGUCAACAUACAGUAUAUCAUAACAGUUAUCAUCCCACUUAUGAUCUUUCUCUUCAUUGGCGCACUUGCCUGGAAAUCGAGUGAAACCGGGGCUUCUUGGUACGGCAGCAGCAAAGAGGUUCAUGACGGAGACGGAGUGAACAGAACGAGAGCUUGGAAGCAGGAGAAGAAUGAAGGGUGCAAGAACCUCAUUGAACUUUUCAGUUCAAAGAGUAGCAACGGCGACAAAUUGGCAUGCUUUGAAGUUACCAACUACCUUUUGCAGCUAUCACGGGUGACAUGGACUCAAUACAAGAGAGAGCAAGGUUGUACUCCUAUUCUGUCUGAUUUUCUUCUCUUCUUGGGUUCAGCGCUAGGUGCUCUUGGAGCGUUGCUAGCAUCACCGCUGGCUGGAUUUGAUUCUCGUGCAGUAUCAAUACAGGUGCUGCCAGUGCUGCACAAGACCUGUACCGUGUUGCUCUUGGUAGCAGUUCACACACUGGCUGCGGAAUGGCUAGGGGAGGACAUGAUCUUUGUUUGCUUACCAGAGCUUAUUGCAGUGCUUGUAUGGUUCAGUGUUUGUUUUGGCCAGGCAAUGAGCGUCAGCAGUUCCGUGUCGCUGAAAUCGCAAGUCAUUAUCGGCUCAGUUGUGGCUAUGCUAGUAUACCUGACCUCCUGGCAAGCAAAUGACAGGAAUAUGCAUGUGUCCUGUGUCAUAUGGGUGAUUUGGAUUUCUCUCUCUUCAUCAGCAUUAUCUGGGUUCCAUGCUUGGUUGCUGCUUGGCUGGCCUGGAAGCACCUCAAACUCAGAGUCGGACAAACUAAUCCAUCUGCUCAAAGUUGCCUCGACAGUUGGCUCUAGUGCAGCAGUCAUAUUGUGCGUCUCUCUGGUGUUUACUGAUCCAAGUAUUUUGCAUGAGUCGGUAUCUUCCUUUGAGCACAAAACCAUCACUACAGUACUAUCAGUUUUGUGCACAUAUUUGUUGUACUCCCUCCAUCCCAUAAUAAAUGUCUUAACUUUGUGCUAG
rnacentral:rRNA from 1 species